AUUCUGGCUCAGGAUGAACGCUGGCGGCGUGCCUAACACAUGCAAGUCGAACGAAGCAUACGGACCGGAGAUCGUCGAAGGGCCGUAUGACUUAGUGGCGGACGGGUGAGUAAUGUAUGAGCAACCUGCCUUUCAGAGGGGGACAACAGUUGGAAACGACUGCUAAUACCGCGUAACGUAUCGUGGGGGCAUCCUCGUGAUACCAAAGGAGCAAUCCGCUGAAAGAUGGGCUCAUAUCUGAUUAGCUUGUUGGCGGGGUAACGGCCCACCAAGGCGACGAUCAGUAGCCGGACUGAGAGGUUGAACGGCCACAUUGGGACUGAGAUACGGCCCAGACUCCUACGGGAGGCAGCAGUGGGGAAUAUUGGGCAAUGGGCGAAAGCCUCGACCCAGCAACGCCGCGUGAAGGAAGAAGGUCUUCGGAUUGUAAACUUCUUUUAUGAGGGACGAAGGACGUGACGGUACCUCAUGAAUAAGCCACGGCUAACUACGUGCCAGCAGCGGC
rnacentral:rRNA from 1 species